UUGGUUAAAGCGCCUGUCUAGUAAACAGGAGAUCCUGGGUUCGAAUCCCAGCGGUGCCUCAACCGAGCGUCCCGGCUCUCUUUUUACCA
rnacentral:miRNA from 1 species